rnacentral:lncRNA from 1 species
CAACCACACAUCAUGAAUAUCUUUCCAUGUCUGCAAAUACACUCCUAUCCCAUUACAAUUAAAGCCUGACAAGCGUUUCACUGUGUAAAGCUUCCACAACGAAUCUGCCAAUCCCUUAUUGCCCCCUCUUUAAACAGAUAUCUUGGAAUUCAGGGAAAGAAGGUGGAAUAUGUACAAGCUUGUUAACUUCUUCCAAGUAUUGAUAAAAAAAAAAAAAAAACUAAAAAAUAAAUAAAAAUAGGGUAGGUUUUAUGAGCCUUGAAACCAGGAAAUAGUGCCAGCCCCGUUUCAUAAACUCAGAACAAUAUUUCC